rnacentral:rRNA from 1 species
GACGAACGCUGGCGGCGUGCCUAAUACAUGCAAGUCGAGCGAGCUUGCCUAGAUGAUUUUGGUUCUUGCACCAGAUGAAACUAGAUACAAGCGAGCGGCGGACGGGUGAGUAACACGUGGGUUACCUGCCCAAAAGGCUGGGAUAACCCCUGUAAACAGAUGCUAAUAACGGAGAACAACACUAGACGCAUGUCCAGCGUUUAAAAGAUGGUUCUGCUAUCACUCUUGGAUGGUACUGCGUUGCAUUAGCUAGUUGGUAUGGCAACGGCUUACCAAGGCAAUGAUGCCUAGCCGAGUUGAGAGACUGACCGGCCACAUUGGGACUGAGACACGGCCCAAACUCCUACGGGAGGCAGCAGUAGGGAAUCUUCCACAAUGGGCGCAAGUCUGAUGCAGCAACGCCGCGUGAGUGAAGAAGGGCUUCGGCUCGUAAAGCUCUGUUGGUAGUGAAGAAAGAUAGAGGGAGUAACUGGCCUCUAAUUGACGGUAAUUACAUAGAAAGUCACGGCUAACUACGUG